rnacentral:rRNA from 1 species
UUGAAAGGGAAACGAUUGAAGUCAGUCGUACCUAUGGGUAAUCAGCCUUUUGGGUGUGAUUUUGUGGAGCGUGAGGAGUUAAACGCCUUCAUGCCUGCAUAUUCGUGCACUUUGGGUGUACUUGCCCGUGUGUAAGUUAACAUCAAUUUUGGUGGUCAUAAAAUGGCUGGAGGAAUGUAGCUUCGAUCUUGUAUUGAAGUGUUAUAGCCUUCGGUAGAUGUGACGAUCGGGAUUGAGGAUUGCAACGGAUACCCUUCGGGGCUACCUGUCUGAUCUCUGAUUGUUGCUCUGGUGCCGAAAGCUUGCUUACGGUUAUCAAAGUCGAUGGUCAAUAGGUUAGAAUGGGUUAAAUUCGUUAAG